rnacentral:rRNA from 1 species
UACGUAGGGGGCAAGCGUUGUCCGGAUUUAUUGGGCGUAAAGAGCGUGUAGGCGGCCAUACAGGUCAGCUGUGAAAACUCGAGGCUCAACCUCGAGACGUCGGUUGAAACCGUAUGGCUAGAGUCCGGAAGAGGAGAGUGGAAUUCCCGGUGUAGCGGUGAAAUGCGCAGAUAUCGGGAAGAACACCUAUGGCGAAGGCAGCUCUCUUGGACGGUACUGACGCUGAGACGCGAAAGCGUGGGGAGCGAACAGG